UGCUACUAAAAGGCCAAGACGGCAUAAUAAAAUCGCUGACAAAGGUGACGGAUGUUGAUUUUUAUCCGGAAGAGCUGUCGUGGCGGAACCAAAAUUGGAACGUUCUCAGCAGCCUACCCAAAAAAACUGCUUCGUUUUCGCUGUGGUGACGGAAUCCAAUUGGAUUUGGUGAAGUGGAAGGAGUAGUCAGAAAGAAUCAGUGUUUUUCUUUAAAAAGUGAUUUUGAAAUGUGAAUGUGUUGAAGUGCAGGCUUAUCAAUGACAAUAAAACUAAUGAGAACAA